AUAACAGCUAUAAUUUACUUGAUCUUGACACAAUCCUACUUGGAUAACUGUGGUAAUUCUAGAGCUAAUACAUGCAUUAAAGCUCUGACCUCACGGGAAGAGUGCAUUUAUUAGAACAAAACCAAGCGGCUUCGGCUGUUUCUGGUUGACUCAUAGUAACUGAGCUGAUCGCAUGGUCUUGCACCGGCGACGUGUCUUUCAAGUAUCUGCCGUAUCAACUUUCGAUGGUAGUGUAUCUGACUACCAUGGUGAUCACGCGUAACGGAGAAUAAGGGUUCGGCUCCGGAGAGUUCGCCUGAGAAAUCGCGAACACAUCUAAGGAAGGCAGCAGGCGCGAAAAUUACCCACUCUCAGCACGAGGAGGUAGUGACGAAAAAUAACGAGACCGUUCUCUUAUGAGGCCGGUCAUCGGAAUGGGUACAAUUUAAACCCUUUAACGAGUAUCUAUGAGAGGGCAAGUCUGGUGCCAGCAGCCGCGGUAAUUCCAGCUCUCAAAGUGCAUAGAAUUAUUGCUGCGGUUAAAAAGCUCGUAGUUGGAUCUGUGCCAUAGGACGUGGUCCACCUUCGGGUGCGUACUACGCUCCUAGGCUUUUUGCUGGUUUUCCCGUCGUAGCCUUCACUGGUUGCGGCGGGUGGCUGGCGAGUUUACUUUGAGAAAAUCAGAGUGCUCAAUACAGGCGUAUCGCUUGAAUGAUUGUGCAUGGAAUAAUAGAAAAGGAUUUCGGUCCUCUUUUAUUGGUUUUGUGGACUGAGAUAAUGGUUAACAGGGACAAACGGGGGCAUUCGUAUCUCUGCGUGAGAGGUGAAAUUCUUGGACCGUAGAGAGACGCCCUACUGCGAAAGCAUUUGC
rnacentral:rRNA from 1 species